UGUUGGGAGUUGGAUUCCUUCCCUUCUGAGGGUCGCUCAAGAAGUCUAAGAGUUUGUAGGGAAAUAGGCCAGAAAGUUUGGGGAAGGGCUUUUAGUCUUCAGUUCUUUGCAUGGUCUGUUGGAAUAGAUACCCUUUAUGCAGGAAUGAUCCCUUUGAAGAUGAAUGGCUCUGUUGAUCAUAGUGGCCUUUCCCUCAGUGUACAGUUCAGCCACCAGGAACUUUUGUGUUGUUCUCGAUGCCACAGCGAAUGAGGUUUAGACUUUUUGUGCCCUUCCUUCGAAGUCAUUCCACCCAUUCUUCCUUACCCACUGAGGCUCAAAGUGAGGUUCCAGGACCUUAGUCUUGGUGCCACCUGGGAGCUUGUUAGAAAUGCAGAGUCUCUGGACCCACUCCAGACCUCCUGAGUCAGAAUUCCUUUGUAAUAAGUUCUGCAGGCAAUUUGUGUGCACAUUUCGGUUGAUAAGCCAGAUAGUAUAAUGUACUUCUCUCCCACUGUCCUGCUCCCACUCCUCCUCUUCAGGGGGCUGGGCCACUCUUCUCUCAUGCCACACUCCCAUCUUUUCCCCUCAAAAGACCUGGCAUUUUGAUAAUUCAUCUUCAAGUCCCUAAGUUCUUAGGCAUCCAGGCUUCCUUGAGGAAGGCAAGCCCAGCACCCCAGGACUCUAAGACUUAGUUGCUUAGGGGAAAAAAAAAAUCCCCCUUAGUUGUUUAUGAUGAGUCUACAGUAGAAAAUAAGUCCAGUUAAUGCUCAAUCAUAUUAUUCUGUCACACUAACAAUAGGCCUUCCAGGCUAGUGAAAUUUUAGAAAUAUUUCUUCUGGAAUCUUUCCCGAUUCUUCCUACUUAGAGUCCAGCGUUAUUGCCUUGGGCUAGAGUCUCCAGGGUCAUUAUGAUUUAAAAAGAGAAAGAGGCGUUAAUAAGAAUGUGAUGGACAUGCAGUUACGUUGCCCUGGCUCUGUUUUGCUCGGUCUAGCUGUGGACCACACUGCCUUUGGGUUUGUGAGACUGAAAAUGCAGAGGCAAGAAAGCAGCUGGGCGCAGACCUGUUGUAAAACCUGUGCGCAGAACCAGGGGAUUGUUUACCACCUGCUCCUACCAUAGUAGGGACCCUGGGGGAUGUAAGGAAGUGAGAAAUAGACCUUAAUAUUGGCAAAAGACCACAGAUUCACUUUGAGGAUGAAUAGUAAUAACAAAGUGCAAAUUACUAUCAUUAUUUACGUUGUAUGGCAGAGUUACACAACACUUUAUUAUACAGUGGAUGCGACACAAAGAACUGCUAUUUAUAGACACUUCAUCCAUUCCCCCAAUCCCCUUAAACUCACUCUUUCAAAGCAUUUGGCCCAAGUUCAAUGGCGAUGUGAUUUUUAAAAAAAUGUGUAUUUUAAAUCAGUGCAGUGCUGAAAAGCAAAGCAAGAGAGUAGUACUGAAUGUUGAAGAGCUGAGGCUGCCCUAAGUCAGUGGGCAGGAGAAUUCUUAAACUUGAAGAUAAUUUAAGUGUUUCAAAGAUGGUCAAAUAUUUUUGCAUUAUAUUUUUAAAAAUUCUUUUGACCUUAAGUCAAAAAUGUUUUUUAAAAAGGGAGGCACCUUAGAAUUAAAUCAUGUUCUAAACUGAAGAGACUUGGCAGGUGUGCAGGAAAUUAAAAUAUCUGGCAUAUUCAUUAAUAUGAGGAUUGGACAAUUGUGUCUUGAAAAAGUCUUGAAAUUUAAAGGUCAUUUAAAGUACAGAUUUUGAAAAAAGUUAACAAAAGCAAAUUUCUUUCUUAAAGGCGUGUCUAAUUAAAGUUUCCUGAGUCUCAUGGGAGUAAAUUAUUUCAUACCCUCUGCUUCAAUUUUUUUCACAGUUUAAGGGGUAUUGAAUAAAAAGAACAUACUCAAUAUGUCAUAUUUUGGCAAAUGUUAACCAGAACUGGCUUGUUAAAUAUGGGCUAUCUUCAACUUGUGCCAAUUAAUUUAAAAUGUUUUCUUAAUGCAAAAUUCAAAUAAGUUCUUGGUUUUGAUACCAUUUCUAAUUUUCUACUGUUGCUCAGGUGAUUUGAAAUUAUAAUUGAGAAUAAAUUUUGCAAAAUUAACAUAUAAAAGGGCAUCCCUGGAAAUGUUUUCCAUUGCAUAAUUCCAAAUGCCAUGGAAGUAGUUGGUGUAUUUGGAUAGUCAUGAAACUUAAUUCCAUACGUACAUAUUUCAAAAUUAUCCAUCUGCUUAACACCAGGGAGGGUUUCAUUGGUAAGAUCUUGGUGUACCCAUUUGUGGAGAACUUGGUGUGAUAAAAUUUGUAAAAUCAGAAUCGUGUUAUUUCUUUAAAAACAAUUAGUGGGAUUAGAAAGUUAUUCCAAGCCUGCAAUAUGGUACUAUCAGAAUAAGAAAACAAGAUAAUUUAUUCAUGUCUCCCCAUACUCCUCCGUGACCACACAGAAGUAAUGAACGAAGGGUAAUCCCCCAGAUCCUAAAGACCAGGUGAGUUUAGUUUAGGCUUUAAUGUUAAUCAAGUGAGACUGUGCCUUCUCAUUUGUGAGAAGCAUCAUUCAAACAAGGCCCUAAGUGUAUUAGGAAAAUACCUUGACAUUUUUCGCCUAAGUAUUGUAAACUAUGCUAAUAUUAGUUAUAAAAUAUCCUCAACUGUAGUUAAUAAUCUUCCCCUUUGAUAUGUAGCAACUUUAUAAACAGAAUGUGUGCCAUUUACUUAUUUGGGUAAAGCAGUCAUGGCGGACUGCCUGCAAAGAGGGCGGCCUACAAUUCCCCCUACCCCUGUGGUCACCUGCCUCCUGUCCUCUCAAGAGAUGAAGUCUGUUUCCUCAUUCCUUGAAGGCUGCCAUUUGACUUGCUUUGACCAAUAGAAUGAGGCGGAGGAGUUCCCGUCGUGGUGCAGCAGAAACAAAUCUGACUAGGAACCAUGAGGUUGAGGGUUCGGUCUCUGGCUUCACUCAGUGGGUUAAGGUUCCGGCAUUGCCGUAAGCUGUGGUGUGGGUCAUAGACUUGGCUUGGAUCUGGCGUUGCUGUGGCUGUGGUGUAGGCCAGUGGCAACAGCUCUGAUUAGACCUCUAGCCUGGGAACUUACAUAUGCCAUAGGUACAGCCCUAAAAAGAC
rnacentral:lncRNA from 1 species